rnacentral:rRNA from 1 species
GAGUUUGAUCAUGGCUCAGAACGAACGCUGGCGGCAUGCCUAACACGUGCAAGUCGAACGAGACCUUCGGGUCUAGUGGCGCACGGGUGCGUAACGCGUGGGAAUCUGCCCCUUGGUACGGAAUAACUCAGGGAAAACUUGAGCUAAUACCGUAUGAUGUCUUCGGACCAAAGAUUUAUCGCCUAGGGAUGAGCCCGCGUUGGAUUAGCUAGUUGGUGGGGUAAAGGCCUACCAAGGCGACGAUCCAUAGCUGGUCUGAGAGGAUGAUCAGCCACACUGGGACUGAGACACGGCCCAGACUCCUACGGGAGGCAGCAGUGGGGAAUAUUGGACAAUGGGCGAAAGCCUGAUCCAGCAAUGCCGCGUGAGUGAAGAAGGCCUUAGGGUUGUAAAGCUCUUUUACCCGGGAAGAUAAUGACUGUACCGGGAGAAUAAGCCCCGGCUAGCUCCGUGCCAGCAGCCGCGGUAAUACG